AGCGCAGGUGGGAAAGUAAGUCAGUCCUAAAAGUGCGGGGCUCAACCCCGUGAGGGGAUUGAAACUACUUUUCUUGAGUGCAGGAGAGGAAAGCGGAAUUCCUAGUGUAGCGGUGAAAUGCGUAGAUAUUAGGAGGAACACCAGUGGCGAAGGCGGCUUUCUGGACUGUAACUGACACUGAGGCUCGAAAGCCAGGGGAGCAAACG
rnacentral:rRNA from 1 species